AGCCUGGUGGUGUAUUGGUAACAUGUCCUCUACAAUUGAACGGACAAUGCAGUUUUAGAAGAGGAGCCCUGUUCGAUUCGGGGUCAGGCUA